rnacentral:rRNA from 1 species
CCUACGAGUGGCAGCAGUGAGGCAUAUUGGUCAAUGGGCGCGAGCCUGAACCAGCCAAGUAGCGUGAAGGAUGACUGCCCUACGGGUUGUAAACUUCUUUUAUAAAGGAAUAAAGUGAGGCACGUGUGCCUUUUUGUAUGUACUUUAUGAAUAAGGAUCGGCUAACUCCGUGCCAGCAGCCGCGGUAAUCAGGAGGAUCCGAGCGUUAUCCGGAUUUAUUGGGUUUAAAGGGAGCGUAGAUGGGUUGUUAAGUCAGUUGUGAAAGUUUGCGGCUCAACCGUAAAAUUGCAAUUGAUACUGGCAGUCUUGAGUACAGUUGAGGUAGGCGGAAUUCGUGGUGUAGCGGUGAAAUGCUUAGAUAUCACGAAGAACUCCGAUUGCGAAGGCAGCUUACUAAACUGCCACUGACAUUGAUGCUCGAAAGUGUGGGUAUCAAACAGGAUUAGAUACCCGUGUAGUC